CUCCAAUCCUUCCACGUAUCUAUUCUAGUUUCUCUUUCAUAUAUAUCCCUCCCUUCUCUCGAUCUGUAUCUGACCGCCCUUUUUGUUAGUCUGAUUGAUCAUCAUUGAAAGCAAGCCUUUCGUACUUGGAAAGAGAAGAAAUAUGUCUUCGUUGGGGACAUCAAAGGGGAUCUUGGAGUUUGCUAAAUUCGGCGUUUAUGUGACCGUUCCCGUUGUUCUUAUGUACGCUUUCGCUAACAAUACAAAGAAUCUCCAGAAAUUCAUGGGAAAUCGUUCAUACAUAGUGUUCCCUUCAAAGAUAGUAAGACCUCCAUCACCAGAAGAGAUGAGGGAAAGGGCCCGAGAAUUGGGUCGCAGGAAGGAUACUCAUUGAUGCUGACUGCAAGUCACCAUUGUAGCCUCGCAGGUUUUUUUUUUUUUGGUUUCCUACCAACAACAUAUAUGUAAUAUGCAGCUGUAUGCUCUGUGGAUUUUGUUUCAGCAAUUAAAUAAUUUUUCCUGUUUGGAGAAGUAUUAGAUGAAUGCUGUGGAUGAUAUACCACCCACAUAAAACUGACUUGAUGAGGGAUGAAUUUCCUUGCAGUA